ACGGGCAGAUCACCUGCAGGGACAAGGACGGCGGUGGCGUCAAGGCGAAGGCAUUAGGAUAAGCGGCGGCUUGCUGACCUCUUGAGUGAGCGUGGAGAUGAAGAUGACCUUGUGGCCCGCCACGGGGAAGUCUAGACUCAUGCAAGCGCCGCCGUCAGCGUUGAGCCACACGUACAGGCUUUGCACCAGGAGAGGCUUCAACAACUCCACGCGCUUGUCGCUGGCCUCCAUUUUUCCGCUCGCUUCUCGACUUCCUCGGCUAGGACUUACCCACCUGUGGAAAUGACAAAACAAGCAUCACCUCUUUUCAGCUGCUUUGUCACACAGAGCGACAUCAUCGGCACACAGCCGCGAUGUCAUGUGCUGUCAUCAUCUGUUUGUUUUUCGUUUUCUUUUUAUUUGCUGGAAAAUGAACAAGUCAUAUCCUUAUUG